GGAAGAAGAAGGCAGGCAGAGUUCUCUGCAGCAGCAGACCCUCUGCCCAGAACAUCCAGCACAGCUUUUGCCAGAUGACUCACUCUCUCAUUGAAGGAUGCAAGGCUGGCAGCUGAUUGUGGUCCAGUUUUCAGGGGCAUCCCACCCAGCACCCUCAUGCUUGCAGAUGAAAGAAGUUGGACAUAUUCUACAAACAAGCUGCAGUCAUUACACUUCUCCCCGGUAUUUGUUUUCCAGAUCUGAAUCAAGAAGCAUACAUUUCAAUCAAAGUUCUGUUCAUACAGAACAUAUUAAACAUACAGAAAAGCAUGUCUAGUACAAGGACUGAGACAAUGCUAUGGCAAAAUCCCAACAUGUGUUACAGUUCUGCUGUAAUGGCACAAUAAUUCUAUAUUUAGGAUAAAAUAAAUAUAGCAAUAAUUUUCUAUAAUGGCACAAUAAUCCUAACCCUAACCACUGAUAAUUGAGCAAAGAGGCACCUUUUAAAGUGCCUGAGACCUUGGGUUAGGGUGGUAUAAAAUGCACUAACUAACUAACUAACUAACUAAAUAAAUAAAUAAAUAAAUAAAUAAAGUGGUGAUUCUCACAUAUUUAGCAGGGCGAGAGCAAUUUGCCCUAUCCAACCCCAGCACAGCAUCCCUCCAGUGGCUGUUUCUGGAGUCAACCUUAUAUUUCUUAUUAGAUUGUGAGCUCUUUGGGGACAGGAUUGUUUAUUUUUCUAUGUAAACCACUUUGAGAACUUGGGUUGAAGAGCGGUAUAUAAAAAAUGUGUAGUAGUAGUAGUAAUCCAGCUUGGUUGUGACUAAGGCAAUGGUUCCCAACCAGGGUUCCUCCAGAUGUUGAUGCACUACAACUCCCAUCAUUCCCAGCUACAAUGUAUUGUGGCUGGGGGUGAUGGGAAUUGUAGCUCAGCAACAUCUGGAGGAGCCCUAGUUAGGAACCACUGGACUAAGCUAUUGUCCAAACCGGUCCACAAUUAGCAUAACAUCUGGUUUGGUUCUUUUUGAACAUAUGAAUAAAGCAAUUCUCCAAUAUCAAAUGUAAAAAAGGUCUCUGAAGUUUAAGGAACACUGGUGGAGAUGAAGGAGAAGAAAGAAAAAACUUAUUGAGAUGCUUGAGUAGUUUUAAUUUAACUCAACCUAGCUGAGUGGAAUCAAGGAUAAGUGCUUUGUCCUUUCCAAGUAAAAUGAAUGCACUCUUCUCAGCAGAGAAAUACAUUCUGUUGUUCUGAGGCAACGUACAGCUUAGUGAGAUGCUUGCUGUGAGAUUUGCAGUUAGGAAGGCAUUGCACAUAUUAAGAUGUAACACGGAGGCUGGCAACUCACUUCGACUUAGUUGUUCUUCAGUAACAAAAUGUUCCACGACAGGAAAAGAGAGAAACAGAGAUCCUUUAUCAGUCUAAUGCUCUGGAAUGUUACAGUAGUAUAAAUUACUUGAGUAAAAUAAAUAGAACUGUCAUGUUACUUGAUUAGCUUAUUUUGUCUUCUGGCUGCUCACUAGACCGUUCUAGAGUUGAAAAAUUUGGUAUUCGUAGCAAGGAUGGCUGCAGUCCAUCCCACAGUUCUAUGUAAUGAAGUUAUUCACCAUGUUGUAAUGCUUCCAAACCAGAGAUAGCUGACGAACUUGGGAAUUUUAUGUUAUGGUUUAGAAGUGUAAGCCAUUAGGUUCAGCCUCAAGUGGCUGCUUCCCCUUUGAAUCUCAGGUGGCUGUCUCUCCUCGACCCUGAACCACAAUAUGAUUUGACAUCAGCACUAGAGGUGAUGUCCCUAGUGGACUCCCCACUCAGCACUGUAAACAGUGAU